GUGACCGAUAGUGAACCAGUACCGUGAGGGAAAGGUGAAAAGAACCCCGGGAGGGGAGUGAAAGAGAACCUGAAACCAUAUGCCUACAAGAAGUCAGAGCCCGUUAAAGGGUGAUGGCGUGCCUUUUGUAGAAUGAACCGGCGAGUUACUGUAUGGAGCGAGGUUAAGCAGGAUAUGCGGAGCCGAAGCGAAAGCGAGUCUUAAGAGGGCGAAAGUUGCAUGCAGUAGACCCGAAACCGGGUGAUCUAGCCAUGACCAGGUUGAAGUUGGGGUAAAACCCGAUGGAGGACCGAACCGACCCCCGUUGAAACGUUGGCGGAUGAGUUGUGGCUAGGGGUGAAAUUCCAAUCGAACCCGGAGAUAGCUGGUUCUCCCCGAAAUAGCUUUAGGGCUAGCGUCGAGGUAGAGAGUUGCGUGAAGGUAGAGCACUGAAUAUGUGAUGGCCCCAUCUCGGGGUACUGAGCAUAAUCAAACUGCGAAUGUCACGGAAACAUACUCGGCAGUCAGACAGCGGGUGAUAAGGUCCGUUGUCAAGAGGGAAACAGCCCAGACCAUCAGCUAAGGUCCCAAAAUGUAUGCUAAGUGGAAAAGGAUGUGGAGAUGUACAGACAACUAGGAGGUUGGCUCAGAAGCAGCCAUCCUUUAAAGAGUGCGUAAUAGCUCACUAGUCGAAUGACUCUGCGCCGAUAAUUUACCGGGGCUAAGCAUACUACCGAAGCUAUGGAUCCCAAGGGAUGGUAGGGGAGCGUUCCAUGAACGGAGAAGCGCGAUCGAGAGGACGCGUGGAGAUCAUGGAAGAGAGAAUGCCGGUGUGAGUAGCGGAACGUGGGUGAGAAUCCCACGCACCGAAAACCCAAGGUUUCCAGAGGAAGGUUCGUCCGCUCUGGGUAAGUCGGGACCUAAGGCGAGGCCGAGAGGCGUAGUCGAUGGACAACAGGUAGAGAUUCCUGUACUCAUAUAUAUGUGAAGGAAUGACGGAGAGAGGAAGCUGCAGCCAGCGGCUGGAAGAGCUGGUGCAAGCGAGAUAUCGGGAUGGCAGGCAAAUCCACCAUCCGAAACGAGAAGGCGUGAAGCGUACGGAAAGCUAAGGCGAGUACGGAAGGCAGUGGAGGAGCUUCCAAGAAAAGUUUCUAACGAAAGUAUAUGUGACCCGUACCGAAAAUGGACACACAUGGGUGAGGAGAGAAUCCUAAGGUGAGCGAGAGAACUAUAGCUAAGGAACUCUGCAAAAUGACUCCGUAACUUAGGGAGAAGGAGUGCUCAUAGAGAUAUGAGCCGCAGUGAAACGGCCCAAGCGACUGUUUACCAAAAACACAGCUCUCUGCUAAGCCGCAAGGCGAAGUAUAGGGGGUGACGCCUGCCCGGUGCUGGAAGGUUAAGGGGAGGGGUUAACGCAAGUGAAGCCCUGAACUGAAGCCCCAGUAAACGGCGGCCGUAACUAUAACGGUCCUAAGGUAGCGAAAUUCCUUGUCAGGUAAGUUCUGACCCGCACGAAAGGCGUAACGAUUUGGGCGCUGUCUCAGCUGUAGACUCGGUGAAGUCUUAGUACCUGUGAAGAUGCAGGUUACCCGCGACUAGACGGAAAGACCCCAUGGAGCUUCACUGCAGGUUGAUAUUGGGAUUUGAUGCAGCAUGUACAGGAUAGGUAGGAGGCAAAGAGAUGGAUACGCCAGUAUUCAAGGAGCCGCUGUUGGGAUACUACCCCUGUUGUAUUGGAUUUCUAACCGGACGACGUAAAGCCGUUGACGGGACAGUGUCAGUCGGGCAGUUUGACUGGGGCGGUCGCCUCCCAAAGAGUAACGGAGGCGCCCAAAGAUACCCUCAGCUUGGAUGGAAACCAAGCGCAGAGUGCAAAGGCAAAAGGGUGUUUGACUGCGAGACCUACAAGUCGAGCAGGGACGAAAGUCGGGCUUAGUGAUCCGGCGGUGCUGAAUGGAAAGGCCGUCGCUCAACGGAUAAAAGCUACCCUGGGGAUAACAGGCUGAUCUCCCCCAA
rnacentral:rRNA from 1 species